UCCUUGGUGGCUCAGUGGUAGAGAAUCUGCCUGCAAUGCAGGAGACCCCGGUUCGAUCCCUGGGUUGAGAA
rnacentral:tRNA from 1 species